rnacentral:rRNA from 1 species
UACGUAGGGGGCAAGCGUUGUCCGGAUUUAUUGGGCGUAAAGAGCGUGUAGGCGGCCGCACAGGUCCGCUGUGAAAACUCGAGGCUCAACCUCGAGACGUCGGUGGAAACCGUUUGGCUAGAGUCCGGAAGAGGAGAGUGGAAUUCCCGGUGUAGCGGUGAAAUGCGCAGAUAUCGGGAAGAACACCCGUGGCGAAGGCGGCUCUCUGGGACGGUACUGACGCUGAGACGCGAAAGCGUGGGGAGCGAACAGG